rnacentral:misc_RNA from 1 species
GUAUUAUAAGAUUAUUUUUUUAUGUAAUCUCAAAAUGAGUUCAGUUCAAUUUUAAUAAAGGAUAAGAUAAUUGUUGGGGACGGCCAAGAAAAAUUUUAACCAUGUUUAAUCCCCAACAUUACAUACGGUCAAAGCCAGCACAAUGGGAAGAAGCUUCAAUGAUGAAGACUCACUUCAGUAAUGAUCCUUCCGCAGGUUCACCUACGGAAA